rnacentral:rRNA from 1 species
GCGAUACCAUGAGAGUCGAGCGGUGAUCAGGGGUAGCUUGCUACCCGCUGACGAGCGGCGGACGGGUGAGUAAUGCAUAGGAAUCUGCCCGGUAGUGGGGGAUAACCUGGGGAAACCCAGGCUAAUACCGCAUACGUCCUACGGGAGAAAGGGGGCUUCGGCUCCCGCUAUUGGAUGAGCCUAUGUCGGAUUAGCUAGUUGGUGAGGUAAUGGCUCACCAAGGCGACGAUCCGUAGCUGGUCUGAGAGGAUGAUCAGCCACAUCGGGACUGAGACACGGCCCGAACUCCUACGGGAGGCAGCAGUGGGGAAUAUUGGACAAUGGGCGCAAGCCUGAUCCAGCCAUGCCGCGUGUGU